rnacentral:rRNA from 1 species
AGUGAACGCUGGCGGUAGGCCUAACACAUGCAAGUCGAACGGCAGCACAGUAAGAGCUUGCUCUUACGGGUGGCGAGUGGCGGACGGGUGAGGAAUACAUCGGAAUCUACUUUUUCGUGGGGGAUAACGUAGGGAAACUUACGCUAAUACCGCAUACGACCUACGGGUGAAAGCAGGGGAUCUUCGGACCUUGCGCGAUUGAAUGAGCCGAUGUCGGAUUAGCUAGUUGGCGGGGUAAAGGCCCACCAAGGCGACGAUCGGUAGCUGGUACGAGAGGAUGAUCAGCCACACUGGAACUGAGACACGGUCCAGACUCCUACGGGAGGCAGCAGUGGGGAAUAUUGGACAAUGGGCGCAAGCCUGAUACAGCCAUACCGCGUGGGUGAAGAAGGCCUUCGGGUUGUAAAGCCCUUUUGUUGGGAAAGAAAAGCAGCAGGUUGAUACCCCGCUGUUCUGACGGUACCCAAAGAAUAAGCACCGGCUAACUUCGUG